rnacentral:misc_RNA from 1 species
CAAAGAUUGAUUCUUUAAGAAAUUAUCGUUUGGGUUUUUUGAGAGAAGAUGGUGGGGUGUUUGACUUUGGAGCUGAAGAGGGUUUGUUUUGCUUUUUGAGGUAACAGAUUGGUUUUUUUGUCUGAUGGUUGGUAUGAAAGUGGCAUUUGGUAGGUCUACAAGUUUGAAUAGUUUUGCUGAUGAACUGUUGUUUGUUAGAGGUUAAAAAGUUUUGAUCUUUGGUUUAGUUUACAGAGAUAUUGGAUUUUACCUGCUUUAGUUUUG